rnacentral:lncRNA from 1 species
GCCCGCGCCUGUCCCUGCACACUUCCCCGCAACUGAGGGAGCCGGCUCCCGCCUCGGCCAGCCCAGAAAGGGGCUCCCACAGUGCAGGGGCGGGCUGAAGGGCUCCUCAAGCGCGGCCAGAGUUGGCGCCAAGGCUGAGGAGGUGCCCAGAGCGAGCGAGGGCUGUGAGGGCUGCUUGCAGGCUGUCACCUCUCAAUAGCAGUUUUGUAUAUGGGAUCUAGCCCCUCCCUAAGAGGUUGAUUCUAAGGAAGCCAACAGCCGUGUUGUGAGUACCCAAUGGAUAGUCUGUUGUGGCAGAAAACUGAUGUCUCCAGCCAACAGCACUGAGGCCCUGAGACCUGCCAACAGUCAUGAUCUUCCGAUGCCUGGACACAGAAAGAGCAGUGGAAGGGGUCGCUGCAUGAGCAAAGACAAAGAGUGGGACACUGACUGUUACAUCUCAAGGAGAAGGAUUGCUGGAUCAAAAGUCUUGCACUUAACCAGGCGUGGUGGCAGAUACCUGUAAUCCCAGCUGUUUGGGAGGCUGAGGCAGGAGAAUCGCUUGUACCCGGGAGGCAGAGGUUGCAGUGAGCUGAGACAGCGCCAUUGACUCCUGCCUGGUGACAAGAGAGAAACUACGUCUCAACAACAACAACACGCUUGGGCACUGUGUUAACUCCAUAAUCGGUUUAUUUAUAAUGCUGCACCAUCCAACCAUCAUCCAACCUAUUUAUCAUUCACAAUGCCACCUGUGAAUACUGGCUUCCAUUGACUCUUUCAAGAAUUGCUACUGGGCCUCACUGAUGUUGACCACAAAUGCAAGUCAUACUGAGAGCCUCUGUGCUCUUUGCCCUGUGGAGAAUAACUACCCUGGACGCCCAUUGUUUUCAUCCUGGACACCCAUUGUUUUCCUGGACCACACCUUGUUAUGACCAUAACCAUCUGUCAGACUCAACCUUCCUUCAAGAUCUGCAGAUCUAAAUUUUAUUGGGAACAGCCAGUUUGACAAGCAUAGACCAGAUGUCCAGUUGUCAUUCAUUCAGCAGGAGCAGCAAGAUUCAAUCAUGUUUUUAUUAUAUUAUUUCCUGAAACUUGUGGCUAUAACCAUGAAGUUUGAGGAUUUGUCUGUGUAAGUAUGGCAGAAGUGAUGUUAACUCACUUAUGAGAUUAGGGUAUAAAAGACCGAGGCUUCCAUGCUUCCAUCUUGGUCUCUCUCUCUCAAAGAACAGCCAUGUGAAUGAUCGUUCUUGAAGGUAAAUCUUCCAGCCCCAGUCCAGUAUUCAAAUUAUCCAGCAACAUUGCAACUUAUGAGAGACCUUGAGCCAUCCAGCUAACAUGCUUCGAAAUCCUGACCCUCAAAACCUGUAAAAUAAUAAAUGUGGUUUUAAACUCUUAAGUAAUUUGUUACAUAGUAAUAAAUAGCUAAUACACC